rnacentral:tRNA from 1 species
AGGUCCGUAGCUCAAUUGGUAGAGCACCGGUCUCCAAAACCGGGGGUUGGGGGUUCGAGUCCCUCCUGGCCUGCCA